UUAGUUAGUUGACCUCUCAAUUUUCUUGGCUCAUCCAUUCGUUUUGGUCGUCUCUAUAUUAUGAUUAGAUCAGAACGAUGCAUCAGUGCACCGGCGAGUCAACGAAUGACGCGAAAAGAAAGGUCGCUCUUCGGUCGUCCGCCAUGGCAUGUCUUGCAUCGACGUAGCCAUCAGAUGCCUACAGCUGCAGCCCCCGUCGUGAUCGUCCGCCAACGUGUGGCGCCUACCAAAGUUGCCGCCACCAUCGACGUCCGCGACCUUGCGGCACCUGCCGCCACCGUGGAAUAUUGAAUCGACCUCGUCUCCUAUCCCGUUGCAUGCAUGUGUGUAUAAAUCCAUAUGCUGGCCGAGCACACGUCGCCUUCACUAAGAAACAGAUCGAAUGCAUUAUGGUACAGCCGACCGCCCAACCGCACCUCCGUCCCAAAACAGAUCUCCCUUCCGACGCUGCAGACCAUGCAAUUCUUUAGCCAUCAUCACCAUAUUGAUCACUGGCUUCCACCACGAUGAUACAGGUCGUUCAACUUGACGAUGAGCAGCAAGCCAGCAACAGCAAGGCGUCCCUCAGAAUGUAUAUGUAUUCACAUCUUUUUGUUUUUGCGGGAAAAAAGACUUUGUUCUUGCUUCGAUGCGUAUAAACGUAUCUCCCCUUAUGCAACGGGUGAUGUAAUAUGUCACAUCCAUGUACAAGCUGGUAUACUUAACACUGAAAUGCAUUAACUAUGGUUAUAGUAUAUA